ACCUGUGGGCUGUGAUGUGAAGCAUGGACUUUGUUAAUAGCGGUCCAUGUCCGGUUUACUGUUCGGUUUGCGGUAAAUUGUUAUCGAAACUGUAAAAGACUCGGGGUCAUUUAUUUAACACCAGAAGAUACAGGGAUAAACCUAUGAACAUUGUGAUCGAAUCCUGUAAAUAUUUUAAACACGACCGUUGUGGGAAACGAUUGUAUAACGCGGAUACCUAUCCCGACAAUCGCCGAAAAAAACCCGACAUUACCGUAUAUACAUUUUGACGAAAUGAUCGCU